rnacentral:rRNA from 1 species
GUGGGGAAUAUUGCACAAUGGAGGAAACUCUGAUGCAGCGACGCCGCGUGAGUGAUGAAGGCCUUCGGGUCGUAAAGCUCUGUCGCAGGGGAAUAACACAAUGAAGGUACCCUGUAAGAAAGGAUCGGCUAACUUCGUGCCAGCAGCCGCGGUAAGACGAGGGAUCCUAGCGUUGUUCGGAAUCAUUGGGCGUAAAGCGGAUGUAGGUGGCUAUGUAAGUCAGAUGUGAAAGCCUGGGGCUCAACCCCAGAAGUGCAUUUGAUACUGCGUAGCUUGAGUGUCGGAGAGGUUACUAGAAUUGUUGGUGUAGUGGUGAAAUACGUAGAUAUCAACAGGAAUACCGGAGGCGAAGGCGGGUAACUGGCCGAACACUGACACUGAGAUCCGAAAGCGUGGGGAUCAAACAGGAUUAGAAACCCCAGUAGUCC